GCCUUCCACUCAAAAGAACAGUGCUAAAACUGUGUAAUUCAGGUCUUUCUGUUUUAUGCAGUCAUGCCAGUACUGUUUCCCAGUGGAAGGAGAGCAAUUUGCUCUGCACCUGAAAUGAAAUGUGGCCGGACCUCUUUCUUAAUGUCCAGUGGCCAUUGUUUCUAGGUCCAGUGCCACAUCU